rnacentral:rRNA from 1 species
CAGUAGCCACGGUAAUACAGAGGGUGCGAGCGUUAAUCGGAUUUACUGGGCGUAAAGCGUGCGUAGGCGGCUUUUUAAGUCGGAUGUGAAAUCCCUGAGCUUAACUUAGGAAUUGCAUUCGAUACUGGGAAGCUAGAGUAUGGGAGAGGAUGGUAGAAUUCCAGGUGUAGCGGUGAAAUGCGUAGAGAUCUGGAGGAAUACCGAUGGCGAAGGCAGCCAUCUGGCCUAAUACUGACGCUGAGGUACGAAAGCAUGGGGAGCAAACAGGAUUAGAGACCCGCGUAGUCCCUGUCUCUUAUAA